GUGCCAGCCGCCGCGGUAAUACCGGCAGCUCAAGUGAUGUCCCAUAUUAUUGGGCCUAAAGCGUCCGUAGCUGGCCGACCAAGUCUCCCGGGAAAUCCACCCGCCCAACGAGUGGGCGUCCGACGGAAACUGCACAGCUUGGGACCGGAAGGCUCGAAGGGUACGUUCGGGGUAGGAGUGAAAUCCCGUAAUCCCGCACGGACCACCGAUGGCUAAAGCACCUCGAGAAGACGGCUCCGACGGUGAGGGACGAAAGCCAGGGUCUCGAACCGGAUUAGAAACCCGAGUAGUCC
rnacentral:rRNA from 1 species